CUGUCUGGUGAGGGUGUUUGGCUGGGAGGAUGUCCCUAGCUCCAGAAAAGAGGAGUUUGAGGGUAGAUUGUCUUUCUUGCCCCUGGUUCGAUUUGAACUACUUAUCACAAAUAUAAAAUGAAAGUGCAUGCAUUGAAGUCCAACAUAAUAAUAUAAAUUACAUGUUCCAAAAAUUUAAAAAUGUGAAAUAAAUUCAUAGUUCCAAAAUAAGGUCGUUACAAUAAUCAUUGCACUAAUUCCAUGCUAGGGCAAUUGAUGUAGCCAUACUAUCACGAAAGGUAUGCAUAGUCACAAAGUUUGAUUCCGAAGUUGAUCCAUCGGAGGCAUGUUGAGACACGGCAUACUUGUUGUAUCUUUCCGGAAUAGUAGGC
rnacentral:lncRNA from 1 species